GUAGUUAACUUGCCCUUAGAUACGGAAAAAUCUCGGGAAACUGAGGCCAAUACCGUAUAGGCAAGAGAAACUGGAAUGUUCUCUUGCCCAAAGCUUCGGCGUCUAAGGAUAGGACUGCACCGGAUUAGCUUGUUGCUAGAGUAAUGUCCUAGCAAGGCGAUAAUCUGUACGGGUCUUGAGAGAGAGAGCCCGGAGAUGGAUUCUGAGACAAUAAUCCAGGCCCUACGGGGCGCAGCAGGCGCGAAAAUUUCCCAAUGCACGCAAGUGUGAGGGAGGGAUUCGAAGUGCUUUCCCUUUUGGGGGAAGCUUUUGUUAAGUCCAAAUAGCUUAAUGAAUAAGUGGUGGGUAAGACGGGUGCCAGCCGCCGCGGUAAUACCCGCGCCACAAGUGGUAAUCACGUUUAUUGGGUUUAAAGCGUUCGUAGCCGGUUUUGUAAGUCUUCGGUGAAAUAUCAUAGUUAACUAUGGUGCGUGCCGUAGAUACUGCAAGACUAGAGACCGGGAGAAGUAUGGGGUAUUCCAGGGGUAGGGGUAAAAUCCUGUAAUCCUUGGAGGACCACCCGUGGCGAAGGCGCCAUACUAGAACGGAUCUGACGGUGAGGGACGAAAGCUAGGGGAGCGAAAGGGAUUAGAUACCCCUGUAGUCCUAGCUGUAAACGAUGCCCACUAGUUGUUGGAAAUCUUACGAGGGUUUCCAAUGUCGUAGGGAAACCGUUAAGUGGGCCACCUGGGAAGUACGGUCGCAAGGCUGAAACUUAAGGGAAUUGGCGGGGGAGCACACAAGUGGUGGAGGCUGCGGUUUAAUUCGAUUCAACGCGAGACAUCUCACCAGGGGCGACAGCAGAAUGAAGGUCAGGCUGAAGGUCUUACCAGACAAGCUGAGCGGAGGUGCAUGGCCGUCGUCAGUUCGUGCUGUGAAGUGUCCUGUUAAGUCAGGUAACGAACAAGACCCGUGCCAUAUGUUGCUACGGCACUCUGUGCCGGCACUCAUAUGGGACCGCUGGUGAUAAGCCAGAUGAAGGCGCGGUCGACGGCAGGUCUGUAUGCCCUUAAUCCCCUGGGCUACACGCGGCCUACAAUGGCCGGAACAAUAGGAUGCAACUCCGAAAGGAGGAGCUAAUCCCCAAAUCCGGCCCCAGUUCAGAUCGAGGAUUGUAACUCAUCCUCGUGAAGUCGAAAUCACUAGUAGUCGCUGGUCACUAUCUAGCGGCGAAUACGUUCUUGCUCCUUGCACACACUGCCCGUCAAGCCAUCUGAGUGGGGCUUUGGUGAGGCUUUAUUUUUCGAUAGAGUCGAGCCGCGGUUCUGCAAGGAGGGCUAAGUCGUAACAAGGUA
rnacentral:rRNA from 1 species